rnacentral:piRNA from 1 species
AAGGAGAGUAACACUACAUUAUUGUCUU